UACGAAGGGGGCUAGCGUUGUUCGGAUUUACUGGGCGUAAAGCGCACGUAGGCGGAUCGUUAAGUCGGGGGUGAAAUCCUGGAGCUCAACUCCAGAACUGCCUUCGAUACUGGCGAUCUUGAGUCCGGAAGAGGUGAGUGGAACUCCUAGUGUAGAGGUGGAAUUCGUAGAUAUUAGGAAGAACACCAGUGGCGAAGGCGGCUCACUGGUCCGGUACUGACGCUGAGGCACGAAAGCGUGGGGAGCAAACAGGAU
rnacentral:rRNA from 1 species